rnacentral:rRNA from 1 species
UACAGAGGUCCCAAGCGUUGUUCGGAUUCAUUGGGCGUAAAGGGUGCGUAGGCGGCGCGGUAAGUCGGGUGUGAAAUCUCGGAGCUUAACUCCGAAACUGCAUUCGAUACUGCCGUGCUUGAGGACUGGAGAGGAGACUGAAAUUUACGGUGUAGCGGUGAAAUGCGUAGAUAUCGUAAGGAAGACCAGUGGCGAAGGCGGGUCUCGUGGACAGUUCCUGACGCUGAGGCACGAAGGCCAGGGGAGCAAACGGG